rnacentral:rRNA from 1 species
CGGCGGGCGGGUGAGUAACGCGUGGGGAACCUGCCCUUAAGUUCGGGAUACCAACUCGAAAGGGUUGUUAAUACCGGAUGGGCUGCAUUAGCCGCAUGGCGGAUGUAGUAAAGGGGAGACCCGCUUAAGGAUGGCCCUGCGUUCCAUUAGCUAGUUGGUGGGGUAACGGCCUACCAAGGCGACGAUGGAUAGCCGGCCUGAGAGGGCGACCGGCCACACUGGGACUGAGACACGGCCCAGACUCCUACGGGGGGCAGCAGUGGGGAAUCUUGCACAAUGGGCGGAAGCCUGAUGCAGCGACGCCGCGUGAGGGACGAAGGUCUUCGGAUCGUAAACCUCUGUCCAAAGGGACGAAGGAGUGACGGUACCUUUGGAGGAAGCCCCGGCCAACUACGUGCCAGCAGCCGCGGUAAGACGUAGGGGGCGAGCGUUGUCCGGAAUCAUUGGGCGUA